GAGGACGACGCUGGCGGCGUGGAUUAGGCAUGCAAGUCGAACGGUAUCAUCCUUUCGGGGGUGAGAGAGUGGCGAACUGGUGAGUAACACGUAGGUUAUCUACCCUCAAGACGGGACAACCCAGGGAAACUUGGGCUAAUACCGGAUGUGAGCAACUUUUAGUUGUUUGAAAGGUGGCGUAAGCUGUCGCUUGGGGAUGAGCCUGCGUCCUAUUAGUUAGUUGGUGAGGUAACGGCUCACCUAGGCAAUGAUAGGUAGGCGGCCUUAACGGGUGGUCGCCCACACUGGGAUUGAGAUACGGCCCAGACUCCUACGGGAGGCAGCAGUCGAGAAUAGUCUACAAUGGUCGGAAGACUGAUAGUGCGACGCCGCGUGAACGAUGAAUCCCUUCGGGGUGUAAAGUUCUUUUAUAUGUGAGCAGUGCUUCUUAUAUUAACAGUAUGGGGAGAGAGAUAUUAGCAUAUGAAUAAGCAACGGCUAACUCCGUG
rnacentral:rRNA from 1 species